UACGAAGGGGGCUAGCGUUGCUCGGAAUCACUGGGCGUAAAGGGUGCGUAGGCGGGUCUUUAAGUCAGGGGUGAAAUCCUGGAGCUCAACUACAGAACUGCCUUUGAUACUGAAGAUCUUGAGUUCGGGAGAGGUGAGUGGAACUGCGAGUGUAGAGGUGAAAUUCGUAGAUAUUCGCAAGAACACCAGUGGCGAAGGCGGCUCACUGGCCCGAUACUGACGCUGAGGCACGAAAGCGUGGGGAGCAAACAGG
rnacentral:rRNA from 1 species